rnacentral:rRNA from 1 species
UAGUCCACGCCGUAAACGAUGAUUACUCGCUGUAGGCGAUACACAGUCUGUGGCUAAGCGAAAGUUUUAAGUAAUCCACCUGGGGAGUACGAUCGCAAGAUUGAAACUCAAAGGAAUUGACGGGGGCCCGCACAAGCGGAGGAACAUGUGGUUUAAUUCGAUGAUACGCGAGGAACCUUACCUGGACUUAAAUGUAGAUUGUAUAGAGUGGAGACAUUCUUUUCUUCGGACUAUUUACAAGGUGCUGCAUGGUUGUCGUCAGCUCGUGCCGUGAGGUGUCGGGUUAAGUCCCAUAACGAGCGCAACCCCUAUCGUUAGUUACCAUCAUUAAGUUGGGGACUCUAGCGAGACUGCCGGCGUAAGCCGCGAGGAAGGUGGGGACGACGUCAAAUCAUCAUGGCCUUUAUGCCUAGGGCCACACACGUGCUACAAUGGUGCAUACAGAGGGUAGCGAAGCCGCGAGGUGGAGCCAAUCCCAGAAAGUGCAUCCCAGUUCGGA